GAUGAACCACUUCGGUGGGGAUUAGUGGCGAACGGGUGAGUAACACGUGGGCAAUCUGCCCUGCACUCUGGGACAAGCCCUGGAAACGGGGUCUAAUACCGGAUAUGACCGUCUUGGGCAUCCUUGAUGGUGUAAAGCUCCGGCGGUGCAGGAUGAGCCCGCGGCCUAUCAGCUUGUUGGUGAGGUAACGGCUCACCAAGGCGACGACGGGUAGCCGGCCUGAGAGGGCGACCGGCCACACUGGGACUGAGACACGGCCCAGACUCCUACGGGAGGCAGCAGUGGGGAAUAUUGCACAAUGGGCGCAAGCCUGAUGCAGCGACGCCGCGUGAGGGAUGACGGCCUUCGGGUUGUAAACCUCUUUCAGCAGGGAAGAAGCGCAAGUGACGGUACCUGCAGAAGAAGCGCCGGCUAACUACGUGCCAGCAGCCGCGGUAAUACGUAGGGCGCAAGCGUUGUCCGGAAUUAUUGGGCGUAAAGAGCUCGUAGGCGGCUUGUCGCGUCGGUUGUGAAAGCCCGGGGCUUAACCCCGGGUCUGCAGUCGAUACGGGCAGGCUAGAGUUCGGUAGGGGAGAUCGGAAUUCCUGGUGUAGCGGUGAAAUGCGCAGAUAUCAGGAGGAACACCGGUGGCGAAGGCGGAUCUCUGGGCCGAUACUGACGCUGAGGAGCGAAAGCGUGGGGAGCGAACAGGAUUAGAUACCCUGGUAGUCCACGCCGUAAACGGUGGGCACUAGGUGUGGGCAACAUUCCACGUUGUCCGUGCCGCAGCUAACGCAUUAAGUGCCCCGCCUGGGAGUACGGCCGC
rnacentral:rRNA from 1 species